AUUGAACGCUGGCGGCAGGCCUAACACAUGCAAGUCGAGCGGAUGAGUGGAGCUUGCUCCAUGAUUCAGCGGCGGACGGGUGAGUAAUGCCUAGGAAUCUGCCUGGUAGUGGGGGACGACGUUUCGAAAGGAACGCUAAUACCGCAUACGUCCUACGGGAGAAAGUGGGGGAUCUUCGGACCUCACGCUAUCAGAUGAGCCUAGGUCGGAUUAGCUAGUUGGUGAGGUAAAGGCUCACCAAGGCGACGAUCCGUAACUGGUCUGGGAGGAUGAUCAGUCACACUGGAACUGAGACACGGUCCAGACUCCUACGGGAGGCAGCAGUGGGGAAUAUUGGACAAUGGGCGAAAGCCUGAUCCAGCCAUGCCGCGUGUGUGAAGAAGGUCUUCGGAUUGUAAAGCACUUUAAGUUGGGAGGAAGGGCAGUAAGUUAAUACCUUGCUGUUUUGACGUUACCAACAGAAUAAGCACCGGCUAACUUCGUGCCAGCAGCCGCCGUAAUAC
rnacentral:rRNA from 1 species